UGGACAGCCCAGCUGCACCCAGGUGACAGUCUGGGCCCCUGGGAUGCCCUGCCAGGCAGCCUGGGCCUGCUGGGAAGCACUGCUUCCACCUGUUAGUGCUCCAGGGCUUUAAAGAAGAUUAUUUGCACAGUCAGAGAUGGAGCUACACCCUCAGGAAUCACUUCACCCCUGAGCCUGAGUGUGUCUGAGGAGAGUGCAGGAGGAGCUGAGAAGUGCAGGGGGAAGAGUCAGUUCUGCUCAGUGCCCAGAAUCCUGGACUUCCCCUUAAGCCAGUUUUGACUACAAAUUGUUCUGUGUCAAGAACCAAACACCAUGCCAAGAGCUCUGAAAGUUGCUGUUAGCUGGCUGAGAUGAAUAUCUGGAGUGCAUUAUCUUAGGUGCAGAGUCUGUUUUGUAUACACAGUAAAAGCAACUCAUCUCCCUGUUU
rnacentral:lncRNA from 1 species